rnacentral:rRNA from 1 species
GGGUCAGUAGGUUGGUCGUGCCACCGGUACGUACUGGUCUCACUGAUUCCUCCUUCUUGAAGAACCGUAAUGCCAUUAAUUUGGUGUUGCGGGGAAACAGGACUGUUACUUUGAAAAAAUUAGAGUGCUUAAAGCAAGCUAACGCUUGAAUACAUUAGCAUGGAAUAAUGAAAUAGGACGAUCGAUCCUAUUUUGUUGGUUUCUAGGAUUGACGUA